AACGAACGCUGGCGGCAUGCCUAACACAUGCAAGUCGAACGAGACCUUCGGGUCUAGUGGCGCCCGGGUGCGUAACGCGUGGGAACCUGCCCUUAGGUUCGGAAUAACUCCCCGAAAGGGGUGCUAAUACCGGAUAAUGUCUUCGGACCAAAGAUUUAUCGCCUUUGGAUGGGCCCGCGUUGGAUUAGCUAGUUGGUAGGGUAAAAGCCUACCAAGGCGACGAUCCAUAGCUGGUCUGAGAGGAUGAUCAGCCACACCGGGACUGAGACACGGCCCAGACUCCUACGGGAGGCAGCAGUGGGGAAUAGUGGACAAUGGGCGAAAUCCUGAUCCAGCAAUGCCGCGUGAGUGAUGAAGGCCUUAGGGUUGUAAAGCGCUUGUACCCGGGAUGAUAAUGACAGUACCGGGAGAAUAAGCUCCGGCUAACUCCGUG
rnacentral:rRNA from 1 species